CGGAGUCUUGCUAUGUCGCCCAGGCUGGGGAGCAGUGGCGUGAUCUUGGCUCACUGCAACCUCCGCCUCCAGGGUUCAAGUGAUUCUCCUGCCUCAGCCUCCCAAGUACCUUGGGACUACAAGCACCCAUCACCACACCUGGCUAAUUUUUUUGUAUUUUUAGUAAAUAUGGGGUUUCACUGUGUUAGCCAGGGUGGGCUUGAUCUCCUGACCUGAUGAUCCACCUGCCUUGGCCUCCCAAAGUGCUAAGAUUACAGGUGUAAGACACCACACCGGUUGACUUUUUUUCUAGAUCAUCCCUACCAUUAUCAUAAGAAAUGAAACUUAAAAAGUCUUGCUUCAUAUAUCCAUACACAUAGUUGUAUAAAUCAAUAAUUUUCCCUCUCCCUACCAUUAUCAUAAGAAAUAAACUUAAAAAAUCUUGCUUCCUAUAUCCACACACAUAGUUGCAUAAAUCAAUAAUUUUUCAUUAUUACAAACUAUAACUCAUACUCAAUAUUUCUUAUGCAUUUCUGAAACAGAAGUGAAGUCAUAAACUGAAAGAGACCCCAGAGAGUCCGUCUUUCCUAUAACACAACUCUCUAUCAUACAGAGUAUUUCUUAAAUCUUGAUAAUGAUUCUGUUUGUUAGGCAUGUAUCUUUAUUCUCUUUUCAUAGAUGUAAAACCUGACUUUCGAGUCAGAUAGCAUUCAUUCAUUCAUUGAACAAAUUAAGAGCUUCAUUUGCUAGGCACUAUGGAGCUAGAGAAGACUCUUGUCAUCAAAGACCCCAUAGUCCUGACAAAAACAAAGCUGUGUUCACCACACCAAUUUUUCUCCCCUAGUACAUAAGAAGAUUGAUUCUUUCUGCCCCCACCUCCUACUACAGCUAGACUGUGGCCAUGUGACUGAAAGUUUGGUUAAUGAUGGGUGAACAUAAUAAAAAAUAUUUCUAGGCCUGACCCUGGAAAAAUAUAAUCUUGUGAUCUUUUUAUCCUCUGUUUCCCUGGUAAGCUGCAAAUACCCAGUUGGCAUAGCUACAAAUGAGAGCCUCUCAAUCUGCACUGAACUGUGACAUGAAGGAGAAAUAAACUUUACUAUGUUAUUUUGGAGUUUAAUUUUGGAGUUUAAUUUCUUACCACUGCAUAGUCUAUUCUUUCCUGUCUAAUACAAAGUUUCAUGAGCAAGACAGACACUAAUCAAAUAGUUACAGAAAAUACAAUUGCUUUGAAGGGAACAAUCUGAGUGCUCUGAACUGAAGUAACAGGGAAGCCUUUUUGUAGUAGAUCGGAUAAUAUUUCAGAAAUAUUUAAUCCCUCCCUUAUUUUCAUAGAAGGAAUAUACCAGUGAUGUUGGUUGGGUUUGGCUUUGUGACUUGCUUUAGUCAAUAAAAUAGGUGGAAGUAAUGGUGGACCGGUUCUCAAUUUAUCCCUUAAAAGGUCUUGUGUGUUUCUGCUCACAUUGUUCCAUUUCUGCCACACAUAAAGGCUAUAAAAGAAACCUGUCCAGGUUAGCCCACUGGCCCUAGGAGGAAUAUGAGCGACAUAUGGAGCAGAGUUGUACCAACAGAGACUCCUUAGAUCAGCUGACCUCCAGACAUGAACAUGCCCAUAUGAGAUCAGCACAACCACUGAGUGAAGUCUAUCCUUACCAUCAGGCCCCCAACCAAUGCUCACACAUUUGGCCUAAAUAGAUGUUUAGAAUUGCAUACCACAGAAAUUUUGUUAUUGAUAUACACACUAUUACACUAAUAACUAACUGACAUAUCUUCUCAGAUAAAGACCUCAAUGAGGUGGUAACAGUUUAGUGAACACCUAAAGGAAGAAAAUUCUGGGAGAAGAAACAACGUUCAAAAAGGCACUAAGGCUGCAUUGAACACAAGCCGAAAGACUGUUCUCAGGCAGAUAUGACAGUGUCUGCACUUACAUGCCAUGGCAUGACUGGAAUAACAAGGAUCAAAUGGACAUGGGAGGAUUCUCAACAGCUACAGAAACUUUUUUUUAUUUAUUCCUCAUUAAUCAUCAUCAUUUUAGACCCUUAAUUCCCUUAUUGCUCAACUUAAAGACACAUCCUACCACACUCUAAAACUUGUUUCUUUCCUUCUGAUUCCUUAUCACAAUUGUUUACUGGUAAUUUUAUCCUUUUUUGUAUAUUUUCUGUAUUUGUCAUUAGACUG
ensembl:lncRNA novel transcript, antisense to LRRC7